GCCGCGGUGGUGUAGCUUGGUAACAUGGGAGGCUGUGGACCUCUUGAUCGGGGGUUCGAGUCCCCCCCGCGGCC
rnacentral:tRNA from 1 species